rnacentral:lncRNA from 1 species
UGGCACCUCACUCUGAUUUGCGAGGAUUUGGCCAGAGAAACUGUUCUCAAGAGUGUGAAUUAGGUGGCAGCUACUAUUUUAUGGUACCUCGCUAUCCACUUUGUAAGAAAACAAAAAGAACACAUGAUGAGGCUCUGGGUCAGCCAGGAUUCUAGAUUCUGCUGCCAGACACAUCUUACAAGGGUAGAGUGCUUGUUUCCUCAUCCCAACCCCAAGCUUCUCCUCAAAGGUCAGCCUUUCUUUCUUCCCCUCAGCUCUGGGAGGCAGUAGCAGGGACCUCCCUCCACUCAGCCCAGCCUGGACUCCCAGCCAGGAGGCUGGGGCAGUG